AGUUCACAUAACCAGGCUAAGAAUCCCUAUAUUAGGUAUUUCUAAAGUUCCUAUUAGCUUUCAUACUUAAUAAUUGUAUAAAAUAGUAUUAAUACAGUAUUUAGACCUGUAAUUUCACUCUUAUGGGGACAACUAUCAUAACAAAACUUCCUCUAUCAAUGAAGAUAGAGAAGCCUAUCUGCGAUGAAAGUUAUCAUGAGAUCUUAACUGAAGGAGGAAUAAGCAAUUCAAGCCUCUUCUCCCCACAUCUUUCCUCAAGGAAGAUUCCUGCUAAGGGAGAAAACAAGCCGUUAGGAUGGGAUAUUCACUCUUCUCUUCUCGGAGAAAAGAUUUUAGAAAAAGACAUAACAAAGUUCAUUUGGAUCAAGGAUAUCCAGGGAAAUCAUGAAAAUAAAAAUACAAACGAAGGUGGACUUGCAGUACCAAAUCUCAAACUAUACUAUAAAGCAGUGGUCAUCAAAACAAUUUGGUACUGGCUAAGAGACAGAAUGGAGGAUCAGUGGAAUACACU
rnacentral:lncRNA from 1 species